rnacentral:rRNA from 1 species
GCUUUGGGGAGCUGUACGUAAGCGUUGAUCCAGAGAUUUCCGAAUGGGGGAACCCACUAUCUUUAGUCGGAUAGUAUCCUUACGUGAAUACAUAGCGUGAGGAAGGCAGACCCAGGGAACUGAAACAUCUAAGUACCUGGAGGAAGAGAAAGAAAAAUCGAUUUCCUGAGUAGCGGCGAGCGAAACGGAAAGAGCCCAAACCAAGAAGCUUGCUUCUUGGGGUUGUAGGACACUCUAUACGGAGUUACAAAAGAAAGUUAUAAAUGAAGCGGUCUGGAAAGGCCCGCCAAAGACGGUAACAGCCCGGUAGUUGAAAUGGCUUUCCCUCCAGAGUGGAUCCUGAGUACGGCGGAACACGUGAAAUUCCGUCGGAAUCCGGGAGGACCAUCUCCCAAGGCUAAAUACUCCCUAGUGACCGAUAGUGAACCAGUACCGUGAGGGAAAGG